AUUGAACGCUGGCGGCAGGCCUAACACAUGCAAGUCGAACGAGUGGCGGACGGGUGAGUAAUGUCUGGGAAACUGCCCGAUGGCGGGGGAUAACUACUGGAAACGGUAGCUAAUACCGCAUACCAUUAGAUCUGCCCAUAUGGGAUUAGCUGGUUGGUGGGGUAAAAGCUCACCAAGGCGACGAUCCGUAGCUGGUCUGAGAGGAUGACCAUCCACACUGGGACUGAGACACGGCCCAGACUCCUACGGGAGGCAGCAGUGGGGAAUAUUGGACAAUGGGGGAAAGCCUGAUGCAGCCAUGCCGCGUGUAUGAAGAAGGCCUUCGGGUUGUAAAGUACUUUCAGCGGGGAGGCGGUACCCGCAGAAGAAGCACCGGCUAACUCCGUGCCAGCAGCCGCGGUAAUUC
rnacentral:rRNA from 1 species